CCGCAGCAGAGCAGCCAUGAGCAGAGCUGGGCGCAGCGGGGCUGGGCAGGUGAGUGGGGGGGGGCACUGGGUGCUGGUUGGGCCCAAUGGGUGCUGGUUGGGCCCAGUGGGUGCUGGUUGGGCCCAAUGGGUGCUGGUUGGGCCCAGUGGGUGCUGGUUGGGCCCAGUGGGUGCUGGUUGGGCCCAGUGGGUGCUGGCUGUGCUUAUUGGGUUCUGGCUGUUCCUGUUUGGGUUCUGGUUGUUCCCAUUUGGGUUCCUGGCUGUUCCUGUUGGGCUCCGGCUGUUCCUGUUCCAGUUGUUCCCGUUUGGGUUCCAGUUGUUCCCGUUGGGUUCUGGUUGUUUGUUCCCAUUUGGGUUCUGGCUGUUCCCAUUUGGGUUCUGGCUGUUCCCAUUUGGGUUCUGGCUGUUCCCGUUGGGUUCUGGCUGUUCUCAUUUGGGUUCCAGUUGUUCCCAUUGGGUUCUGGUUGUUUGUUCCCAUUUGGGUUCCUGGCUGUUCUGUUCCGGCUGUUCCUAUUUGGGUUCCGGCUGUUCCUUUUGGGUUCCACCUGUUCCCAUUCUGGCUGUUCCCAUUCCAGCUGUUCCUGUUUGGGCUCCGGCUGUUUGUUCCCAUUGGGUUCCGGUUGUUUGUUCCUGUUGGGUUCUGGUUGUUCCUAUUUGGGUUCCUGGUUGUUCCCGUUUGGGUUCCAGCUGUUCCUGUUGGGUUCCACCUGUUCCCAUUCCAGCUGUUCCUGUUUGGGCUCCGGCUGUUUGUUCCCAUUUGGGUUUUGGCUGUUUGUUCCCGUUUGGGUUCUGGCUGUUCCUGUUGGGUUCCCAUUUGGGUUCCGGCCGUUCCCAUUUGGGUUCUGACUGUUCCCGUGGGGUUCUGGCUGUUCCCAUUGGUUUGUUGGGUUCCGGCUGUUCCCGUGUGGGUUCCGGCUGUUCCCGUGUGGGUUCCGCCUGUUUGUUCCCAUUUGGGCUCCAGCCGUUCCCGUGGGGUUCUGGCUGUUCCCAUGGGGUUCUGGCUGUUCCCAUGGGGUUGUUGGGUUCUGGCUGUUCCCGUGGGGUUCUGGCUGUUCCCAUUGGGUUGUUGGGUUCCGGCUGUUCCCGUGGGGUUCCUGUUGGGUUCCGGCUGUUUGUUCCCAUGUGGGGUUCCGGCUGUUUGUUCCCAUGUGGGGUUCCGGCUGUUCCUGUGGGGUUCCGGCUGUUCCUGUGGGGUUCUGGCUGUUCUCGUGGGGUUGUUGGGUUCCGGCUGUCCCGUUUGGGUUCCGGCUGUUCCCCUGGGGUUCCGGCUGUUCUCGUGGGGUUGUUGGGUUCCGGCUGUUCCCAUUGGGUUCCGGCUGUUCCCGUGGGGUUCUAGCUGUUCCCCUGGGGUUCCGGCUGUUCUCAUGGGGUUGUUGGGUUCCGGCUGUUCCCGUGGGGUUCCAGCUGUUCCCCUGGGGUUCCGGCUGUCCCGUUUGGGUUCCGGCUGUGCCGUUUGGGUUCCGGCCGUCCCGUUCUGUGCCCCGUGUCCACCUGCGCCCCGGCGCGUGGUUCUUUGUCCCCACAGCCGCCGGCCGCCGCCGAGCCCAGCGCUGCCGAGCUGGAGGCCGAGCUGCUGCAGCUGGGGGCGAAACCUGGCGGGAGGCGGGGGAGAGCUCCGGUGUCCAUGGAGGCCAUAGAGAGGAUGGCAGCGCUGUGCAUGCGGGACCCGGGCGAGGAGGAGGAGGAGGAGGAGGAGGAUGAAGAUCUGGAGGGCGAGGAGGAGCUGCUGGUGGGAGCUGAGGGCUCCUCCUUUUGGGGGAAAUUCGGCCCAAAUUGGGGCUUUGGCGCCGGAAGUGGUUAACGAGCCGCCCCUCGUUUGCAGGCUGAGCUGCAGGAGGUGCUGGGGGGCGGGGGGGGCGACUCAGGGGGCGCGGAGCCCCCAAGGAAGGUAAGGGGCUGCUGGGAUGGGGGGUCCUGGAAGGUUAUGGGGUCGUGGAAUGGGUUGGGAGGGUCCUGGAAGGUUAUGGGGUCGUGGAAAAGGUGGGAGGGUCCUGGAAGGUUAUGGGGUCGUGGAAAAGGUGGGAGGGUCCUGGAAGGUUAUGGGGUCUGGGAAUGGGUUGGGAGGGUCCUGGAAGGUUAUGGGGUUUUGGAAAAGGUG
ensembl:lncRNA